GGUGGCCUAGACGUUAGAGCGUCCGCCUCGGAUGCAGAAUGUCGUGGGUUCGAAUCCCGACCAAGUCA